CCACCAUCCAUGCAACAGGACUUUUUCAUCUUCCCUAAAAGAAUGGAAUUUCUUAUUUUUAACUGUAAAGCUGAAUUGAAUAUUUUACAUGAUUUUUGGAAAAAAUUCUUCCCAAAUUAACUGCGAGGUUAACUGCUUGUGGCCUGUAUUUUUUUUUUUUUUUAAAGAAAGGGUCUUAUUCUGUUGUUCAGGCUGGAGUGCAGCAUUGCAGUCUCUACCUCCCUGGGAUCAUGUGAUCCUCCCAUCUCAGCCUCUCAAGUACCUGCUACUACAGGUGCACGCCACCAUACCCAGCCUGUACUUCGUUUCUGAGGAUCAAGACCUCACAGACCGUGUGUGUGUGUGUGUAUUUGUGUGUGUGUGAGUCCUAUUUGGGCCCCGCCUUUCAGCCCUGUCUUGCAGCCCAAACUCCAGCCACAGCUGUGGCCCCGUGCAGCUCAGAGGAAUCAGGUUGGCUCAGGGGCUUUUCCUGCUUUAAGGCAGAGGGUGAGAAGGCUGUAGCUGGGCCCGGCUAACAUCUCACCUGCUCCUGGGUCAAGAGGUGAUAUAGUUGGAGGUCAGACCAGGUUGAGCCAUUUCCUGGGCCAGGAGUAUCUUAUAGCAUGGCACAGAACACCAGGAGGCCUCACCUUCUUCCUGCUCAGAAAAGCCCACUCCUUGUCUCUGGCCCUGUGCCAGGCACUCAUCUGUCCUUUAUUUCAUGCCUGGCCCUCUAGGCAAUGUUGGAGUCCAAGAGGGUAGGGGAUGGAAGUGGCUGAGUCAGGAUUUGAACCCAGGGCAUGGUGUUUCUCAACAGGGUUGGCACCGGGAUUCUUGUUGAGAUGAUUUGUCACUGGGUAGGACUGUCCUAUGCAUUUUAGGUGUUUGCUAUCCCUGGCCCUGUCCCCUGAAUGCCCAGGUGUCCUGCAAUCAUUGUGCUAACCAGAAGCAUCCCAUGUAUUCCUAGUGGUCUCCUAGGGACCAGGAGGAAAGAGACCUGAAAGGGGUACUUUGAGGCUGUACUGCCUUUCUUGGCAGGAGGCCUGAGGCCCCCCAGUCCUUGAGUCUCAGCUGUGAAGCAGGGUGCUCCCCAGUGUCUCGGCUGGGACCUUGAACAAAUCAUUGAACCCUCUACCGCCUCUGUGCUCUCCCCGGGCACUUUGAGGACUCAGCCGACUCUACAUUUUUAAGCUUGCAGUUGAAACGUUUGCAGCCAUCGGGAUACAAGGUAUUGUUAUAGGGACCAGCUGUGAUGACAGAAGUGGGAACACUUUGCAGGACUGUGGCUGUUGCUCAGCAGCCUUGGAGUCAGGAGGAGAGAUGAAAAUCAGAAUUGAGGGUGCUUCUGGGUGAGGGACACACCCUAUACUCUUCGCAUACUCUGCACUGGAUCCUCACGGAACCACAAUCUGAGUGAAAGUGACACCACAUGACUUCUGAGACUUGGCCCUAAAAGGUGACACAGCUUCCAACUGGCUGACCUGGGACAGUCACUUUUGGAAUCCAGCCACCAUGUGGGAGGCAGCCUGGGUCACGUGGAGAGGCCACAAAUAAGUAUUUGCCAUCUGAGGUCCCUGCUAUAGCCAUAAGCAACCAUGUGAGAGUCGGAGUGAGAAGCACCCACACUGAGCCCAUUAACCACAGACUGCACAAGAGAAAUCAAAAUGAUUUUCUUUCUUUUUUUUUAAAGAGAGGAAUUUCUCUAUGUUGCUCAGGCUGAUCUUUAACUUCUGGGCUCAGGCAGUCCUCCCGCUUCAGCCUGCCCAGCAGCUAGGACCACAGGCACACAUCAACCCACCCUACUAAUGUUUUUUAAUUCUUUACUUUUGGUAGAGAUGGAGUUUCACCAUGCUGCCAGCCUGGUCUCGAACUCCUGGGCUCAAGUGAUCCUCCCACCUUGCCCUCCCAAAGUAUUGGGAUUAAAAGAAUGAGCCACUGUGUCUGGCCAAAAUCGCCAUUGUUUUAAGGCAACAAGUUUUGGAGAGAUUUGUUAUGCAGCAGUCUGCUAACCGCAAUAGAGGAGCACACAGGGGCUCAAUUUGACAGGUAGUGACUUGCCAGAGGACUCAGCUGAUGUGUGGCAGGACCAGGCAGUGAAUCUGUGUCUUCCGAACUCCAAAUCCCAUCUUUGCCCUGACCCUGAACUUCCUCCUUUGGUUUCUGGGAUGGCUCUUACUCAGGGAGGGUCCCCUUUUCCCUCCCCACCCAGCAGUGGCCAGGAUGAAACCACAGCCAGAGGUGCCCCAGGGGCAGUCCACAAGGACAGGCACACCCAGACACGCACUUGUGGUUUAUUACACACAGUGAUCUCCAUCUACACGGAAAUGGAAGGCAAGCAGCCAGGAUGGAGCUGGUUGCUGGGAACACUUGCUGG
rnacentral:lncRNA from 1 species